ACAGUCUAAUUUGAAUAGUUUGCAUUGAUGUUACAGCUGAUGCAGUCAACAAUGCAGCUGGCUAUGGAUUCAGUGGUGUUGAUGAUCAAGGCAAUUUCCAUUGGGACCUGCUAUCCAACUUAAAUAUAUGGAACAUUGAGACUGCAACAAGUUUCAAAAUGUACAUUGAAAACUGGAACAUUCAGACAGCUGCCUGGCUAAAGCGGUAAGGAACAAUUACAGACAUUACUUCCUCUCUUCAAAGCCACUCAAGGUGAUCUAUGACAUUGUCACGUGGUUUGUCACUCAACUGGCUGUCUGCUAUACUGUUGCACCUUUUGUUAUGCUGGCUGUUGAGCCCACAAUUAAGUUAUACAAGUCAAUGUACUUUCACGUGCACAUUCUAAGCCUCCUGCUGCUGCUGGUCCUACCAAUCAAAUCUCGAGACCACACCAUGAGGCAGCUUCAGAAUCAAGUCACAUGCAAUUCUGUUAAAAACAAGAAAGAAAAAUGAUACCUCAAAGAAAAACCACUGAUAUUGGAAAGUGAAGUGUCAUACCAAAAACAAAAGGGAGAAAAUAAAAAGACAAUGACAUUGUUAUUGCUUAAUUUAAAACGCUUUGGAAAGGACAGACUGGAGCUUGGCUGACUGUAUUCCAGAUGACUCAGUAACAAAGAUUUAGAGGCUUGAGGAGUAGUGCUUAUGAUUUUAUAAAUACAGGGACUAUUUUUAUGGCGUGCUUUUUUAUAUAUUUAAUUUUUUCACAUGUGCAGAUGUUUUUGAUCUUUUACAGAAAUGUAUAUUUGAUAGAUAAAAAUUUUGAGAUUAAGAAAAUAAUCAUUAAAAAAACCUAGCAAGAAUCAGAUCAGCAGCUUAGCAGACUGGUGCUCUAGGCUGCUGAGUCGUUGGCUUCCUAUCCUGGCUACUAUGGCCAGAGUUGGCUCUGGGAUGUAGAACCACAAAACCUUGACUCCUGAGACUGUUGGCAUUUACUCCAACAGGAGGAGGAGGGCCACAGCGCAGGGUGAAAGUGCUUCCCAUGUGGUUCUGAAGAAGGGACCUGCUGCCUGAGUUCAGCAGCUUGGAGACUCCUAAUUGCUCUGAGUGACACCUGCUGGUGUGAGGGCAAAUUAGUCACUUGGAAAUCAUUCAAGUAGAUUUCUGUGAACAUCAGCCACUGGAUUGGCCAAACUAAAAAAUAUAUAUAAAAGGAAAAAUCAGAAUAUCCUACAACACGCAGAUUAAACUUCGCUAGCCGAGGCUACGUCUACACUACAAGUGCUCCAGUGGCACAGCUACAGCACUGCAACUGACCCUCUGUGCUGUAGUGUAGGUACUUCCUACAGCGACGGAAGGGGUUUUUCCAUUGCUGUGGUGAAUACCGCCCCUUGAGAGGCAGUAGCUAGGUUGACAGAAGAAUUCUGCUGUCAACAUAGUGGUGUCUACACCAGGGCUUAAGUCAUUUUAACUACGUCUCUCAAGGAUGUGGAUUUUUCACACCUUUGAGUGACAUAGAUUGACCUAAGUUUUAGGUUUAGACCAGGCCUGAGAGACAGAGAUAAUUGGGAUGUGACUGAUGUUCAGCACUACCCUGCAGCUUUGGAGUGAUAUGUUUGGACACGAUACUUUUAUGAUCAAUAUAACAUAGUAGUAGGGAAACCUCGCAGAUUUAGUGCUUUCAAACUGUCAGUCACAGAUCAAAAGCUGGAGGAAGGGUUGGGAAUAGAUCAGCUUGUUCCUCAUAAUAUUAUGUAUUGGCAAGUAGGAAUUUUGUUCACACAAGGAUAACAGUCCAUUACAAAUAAAAAUAAAAGAGUACUAUACAAGAGAAGGAUUGUGAUAUGAUCAAGGGACUGAGAAUCAGCAGCUCUGCUUCUGACUCACUGCGUGAUCUUGGGCAAGUCACUCAACCUUUCUAUGUUUUAGUUUCCCCAUCUGUAAAAUGGGGAUAAUAAUACUUACCUACCUCACAGGAGUGUUGUGAGGUUCUGUUAACUUUUACACAGCGCUUUGAGAGAGCAGGAUGAAAAGUGCUAUGUAAGUUUAAAAACUAAAUAUAGUCAGAGAGGACCUCUUAAAGGAACACAUGAAAACAUGCACCAAAUAAUUCUGUUAUAUAUCUUUAAAUGUUUUCUAAGUUGGUUUUCUCAGAAUCAUUUAGAAAUGAAGCAGUUCCCUUACAUACCAUUGAUUUUUCUCAUCUGUCUGAAGUGUAAGUGAACAAAGAGUCUACCACAUUUAUUUUAUUUUAAUUUUUGUAUCAGAACAAAUUCAAAUUCUGCAGAAUCCUUACUAUGGGGAGAAAAAUGUAAGAAACCAAAACUGAAGAAUGUAAACAGUUUCACUUUAUUUUUCUUGACGGACUGAUUUUGCUUUUCUCCCCUCCACCAGCCUCCUUUUCUCCCUCCCCAACCCCCCGAAUUCCCAACAGCCUUUUAAUAUAAUGUCUAUUUCAUGGGAAAGUGUUUUUGGUGAUUUCUUUUGGAGAAGAGAUGGAUUACUAAGAUUGGUCUGAAU
rnacentral:lncRNA from 1 species